rnacentral:rRNA from 1 species
GACGAACGCUGGCGGCGUGCUUAACACAUGCAAGUCGAACGGAAAGGCCCUGCUUUUGUGGGGUGCUCGAGUGGCGAACGGGUGAGUAACACGUGAGUAACCUGCCCUUGACUUUGGGAUAACUUCAGGAAACUGGGGCUAAUACCUGAUAGGAGCUCCUGCUGCAUGGUGGGGGUUGGAAAGUUUCGGCGGUUGGGGAUGGACUGGCGGCUUAUCAGCUUGUUGGUGGGGUAGUGGCUUACCAAGGCUUUGACGGGUAGCCGGCCUGAGAGGGUGACCGGCCACAUUGGGACUGAGAUACGGCCCAGACUCCUACGGGAGGCAGCAGGGGGGAAUAUUGCACAAUGGGCGGAAGCCUGGUGCAGAAACGCCGCGUGCGGGAUGACGGCCUUCGGGUUGUAAACCGCUUUCGCCUGUGACGAAGCGUGAGUGACGGUAAUGGGUAAAGAAGCACCGGCUAACUACGUG